UACGUAGGGGGCGAGCGUUGUCCGGAUUCAUUGGGCGUAAAGAGCUCGUAGGCGGCUUGGCAAGUCGGGUGUGAAAACUCCAGGCUCAACCUGGAGACGCCACCCGAUACUGCCAUGGCUUGAGUCCGGUAGGGGACCACGGAAUUCCUGGUGUAGCGGUGAAAUGCGCAGAUAUCAGGAGGAACACCGGUGGCGAAGGCGGUGGUCUGGGCCGGUACUGACGCUGAGGAGCGAAAUCGUGGGGAGCGAACAGG
rnacentral:rRNA from 1 species